rnacentral:sRNA from 1 species
GCUGGGCAUGGUGGUGCUCGCUUGUAAUCCCAGCAGCUUGGGGGGCUGAGGCAGGAGGAUUGUGAGUUCAAAGCCAGCAUCAGCAAAAAGCAAGACACUGUGCAACUCAGUGAGACCCUGUCUCUA